GAUGAACGCUGGCGGCGUGCCUAAUACAUGCAAGUCGAGCGAACAGACGAGGAGCUUGCUCCUCUGACGUUAGCGGCGGACGGGUGAGUAACACGUGGAUAACCUACUUAUAAGACUGGGAUAACUUCGGGAAACCGGAGCUAAUACCGGAUAACAUGUUGAACCGCAUGGUUCAACAGUGAAUGACGGUCUUGCUGUCACUUAUAGAUGGAUCCGCGCCGCAUUAGCUAGUUGGUAAGGUAACGGCUUACCAAGGCGACGAUGCGUAGCCGACCUGAGAGGGUGAUCAGCCACACUGGAACUGAGACACGGUCCAGACUCCUACGGGAGGCAGCAGUAGGGAAUCUUCCGCAAUGGGCGAAAUCCUGACGGAGCAACGCCGCGUGAGUGAAGAAGGUCUUCGGAUCGUAAAACUCUGUUAUUAGGGAAGAACAAAUGUGUAAGUAACUCUGCACGUCUUGACGGUACCUAAUCAGAAAGCCCCGGCUAACUACGUG
rnacentral:rRNA from 1 species